UGUUUUUUAAGUUCCACAUAUGAAUGAAAUCGUAUGGUAUUUGUCAUUCUCUGACUUAUUUCACUUAGCAUAAUACCCUCUAGUUCCAUCCGCAUUGUUGCAAAUCUUAAGAUUUCAUUCCUUGUUAGAGCUGAGUAAUAUUCCAUUGAAUAUAUAUACCCAUC